rnacentral:rRNA from 2 species
GAGGAAUAUUGGUCAAUGGGCGGGAGCCUGAACCAGCCAAGUCGCGUGAAGGAAGAAGGAUCUAUGGUUCGUAAACUUCUUUUGCAGGGGAAUAAAGUGCAGGACGUGUCCUGUUUUGUAUGUACCCUGAGAAUAAGGAUCGGCUAACUCCGUGCCAGCAGCCGCGGUAAUACGGAGGAUCCGAGCGUUAUCCGGAUUUAUUGGGUUUAAAGGGUGCGUAGGUGGUUUGAUAAGUCAGCGGUGAAAGUUUGCAGCUUAACUGUAAAAAUGCCGUUGAAACUGUCGGACUUGAGUGUAAAUGAGGUAGGCGGAAUGCGUGGUGUAGCGGUGAAAUGCAUAGAUAUCACGCAGAACUCCGAUUGCGAAGGCAGCUUACUAAGCUACAACUGACACUGAAGCACGAAAGCGUGGGGAUCAAACA